rnacentral:rRNA from 1 species
GAUGAACGCUAGCGACAGGCCUAACACAUGCAGGUCGAGGGGCAGCACAAGGAGCAAUCUGAGGUGGCGACCGGCGCACGGGUGAGUAACACGUAUGCAACCUGCCUGUAAGAGGGGAAUAACCCGGAGAAAUUCGGACUAAUACCGCAUAAUACCACGAGACUGCAUGGUUUUGUGGUUAAACAUUUAUGGCUUACAGAUGGGCAUGCGUAUGAUUAGCUAGUAGGUGAGGUAACGGCUCACCUAGGCAACGAUCAUUAGGGGUUCUGAGAGGAAGGUCCCCCACACUGGUACUGAGACACGGACCAGACUCCUACGGGAGGCAGCAGUGAGGAAUAUUGGUCAAUGGGCGAGAGCCUGAACCAGCCUAGUCGCGUGAAGGAAGAAGGUUCUAUGGAUUGUAAACUUCUUUUGUAAGGGAAUAAAAAGUGGUACGUGUACCAUAUUGUAUGUACUUUACGAAUAAGGAUCGGCUAACUCCGUGCCAGCCGCCGCAGUAAAAC